AAUGAACGUUGGCGGUGUGGAUUAGGCAUGCAAGUCGUGCGCGAAACGUAGCAAUACGUGGAGAGCGGCGAAAGGGAGAGUAAUACAUAGGUACGUACCCUCGGGUCUGGGAUAGCGGCGGGAAACUGCCGGUAAUACCAGAUAACGUCUCCGGACCAAAGGUGUGAUUCCACCUGGGGAGCGGCCUGUGGCCUAUCAGCUUGUUGGUGGGGUAACGGCCUACCAAGGCAAAGACGGGUAUGGGGCGUGAGAGCGUGCCCCCACUCACUGGGACUGAGAUACUGCCCAGACACCUACGGGUGGCUGCAGUCGAGAAUCUUCGGCAAUGGGCGCAAGCCUGACCGAGCGACACCGCGUGCGGGAUGAAGGCCUUCGGGUUGUAAACCGCUGUCGUAGGGGAGGAAGGGCCUGUGAAGAACAGGACUUGACCGAUCCUAGGAGGAAGGGCCGGCUAAUCUCGUGCCAGCCGCCGCCGUAAUAC
rnacentral:rRNA from 1 species